UUUCCGUAGGUGAACCUGCGGAAGGAUCAUUACCGAGUUAGGGUGCUUCUCAGCGCCCGACCUCCCAACCCUUUGUGAACGCAACUAGUUGCUUCGGGGGGCGACCCUGCCGUUCGGCGCGGCGCCCCCGGAGGUCAUCAAAACUCUGCAUCUCUGCGUCGGAGUCAUAAGUCAAUUGAACAAAACUUUCAACAACGGAUCUCUUGGUUCUGGCAUCGAUGAAGAACGCAGC
rnacentral:misc_RNA from 1 species